GCUCAGUACGUUAAACUGAGCUUGUCUGUCAAAUUUGAGAGAAAACGGACAUCCGAAAGGGCUCCAACGAAAUUUAUCAGAUUUCAGGCUGCCCGUAGUGAAUAGUGUAUAGUUGAGGGGCAAAAUGGUAAAAUGGGACUCAACCCUUUUCUUCUUCUCCUCCCUCAGACGCAGCAGCCCCAAACCGCAUGCGACACACACACACGCAUGCAUGGAAGGGAGAGAAAGAACUUCCAUUUCUCUCUCUAAAUCUCUCCCAAAAUUAAAGAAAUUGGUGGAGAUUGAAGUUUGGAAGUGAAUCACCUUCAUCUUCUCCAUUUUCUCCAUGGUUUGAAGCAAGUUUUGAGGUGAGCUUUUUGAGCCCUCUCAUGGUAGAUCUCUAAAUAUGUGGUUUUAAGCUUCAAGAAUGGAUUUAGAGGAAUCCUAGCAUGCUAUCUAGAUGAAUGAUGCUUGAUUCAUGAAGGGAUUUGGUGGAUUUUUAUCUAGUUGUAAACCUAGGGUUCAAAAUGCUAGUUUGUGAAAUAUGAGGGUUUGAUCUAAUUUGACCCUUCGUAAACCUAAUUGCUAGGUAACGAAACGCGUUGGCGAAGACGGAUCGGCAAUCCGACGAGCCGUUACAAAGUUAUUAAAGAAACACACGUUUAGGCUUCGUUUCCGCCUGGAGGGCCGAGGCAACGUCGUAAAAUCGUGAAAACGGGUUUGAAGCACCAUGGCAUAUAACCGAAGACCUUUAAUUUUUGGAUCGCAAAUCAGAGAUCGUUUGGGUGGUCGCGCGAGAGUUCGAGCCAAACCGGAUCGCGGGUGUCGCGGGCGGCCGAUUGCAAGUGACUACAAGCAAUCGGAGAGUAAGUUAAGGUGGGUUGUGCUUACCGAAGCGACUAGGUCGCCCUUAUGUCUAAGAAAAUUAAGAAUCUAUAUUGAUGCAUAUAAAUACUAAACGAGGCAUGUAGGUGAUGCAUGUAAAUGUAAAUAAGCAUGUGGAUGAUGUACGUAGUUGAUGUAAAUAAUGCAUGUGGAUAAUAUAAUGUAAAAUGCUAAGUAGGUGCAUGUAAAAUGAUAUAGAGAUCAUAGAAUACAUGAUUAGCAUCGCGAGAUUAUCUAUGCAUGUGAACUAGAGAAUGCUCGAUUAGACAACUAGGAUGUCGAACUAGAUCGAGUGGCAUCUAACCUAGUGUUAAAGAACAUAGGUUGUGAAUGAAUCUAGAGUCAUGUGAACUAGAUCGAGUGGCAUCUAACCUAGUGUAUAAAAUAUAGGUUGGACAUGAAUGACAAUGAACCUAGUGUUAUUGAACAUAGGUCAAGUGGCAUCUAACCUAGUGUAUAAAAUAUAGGUUGGACAUGAAUGACAAUGAACCUAGUGUUGUUAAACCUAGGAUGAAUCAUGAGUGGCAUCUAACCUAGUGUUAAAGGACAUAGGUUAUGGAUUGAACCUAGAGUUAAGUAAACCUAGGUUAUGUGAUAGAGACGUUGAACCUAGAGUCAAUUGGACCUAGGGUGAAAAGGACAUUGGACCUAGAUAGGUCAAUACUAUAGGGUUUGAAACCAACCCUUGAGCGAUAUGAAGUGGAUUCCGGAAUCCCUAGUGAUGUGGCCGCACAUGGAGCGGUGGAAAUUGUGGUAAAAGAGAUGGCAAGCGAAUCCUAACUGCAGGUAUGUGUGGUUCUCCUCGCCUGGCAGUGAUUCAACGGGUAUGUGUGGUUCUCCUCGCCCGGGAUGCCAUGAGAAUAAGCUGGAAUUGGGUAUGUGUGGUUCUCCUCGCCCAUUAGCUUAUCGGAUGAUGCCGCCUAGAUUGACUUGAACCAUUGUUGGGUGAGAGCGAUGUGGUCGCUGCCAGAUGACUAAGUUAUGACUUGAACCAUUGUUGGGUGAGGUGCGAUGAGUUCGCCGCCAGAUGGCUAAGUCAUGACUUGAGUUGUUGUUGGGUGAGAGCGAUGAGUUCGCCGCCAGAUGGUUAAGUCAGAUCUGCGGUAGGCUGCGACGGCAGCCAGGCUGAGGUGCAGCCAGUGCGCGGACUAUCCGCGGAUGAUUGACUCGAGGCCGAGUCGGGUGGUUAGCUUGAUUAGGUUAAUGGAAACCUUAUAAGCUAGUGAUUGAGGCAAGAACCUGAGGUAAUAGAGACCUUAGAAGCAAGUUGAACUUGAGUUGAGAACAUAAGGUAAUAGAAACCUUACAAUUGAAUGAAAUGAGCUAAAGUAGCAAAGUAAAUGUAGAACUAACAUAUCUACUAGUUGUUUAUGCAGUUGCAUAGUUGCAUAAUGUUCAUAUUGCAUUUGCGAGGCAAGGUAUGGUUUUAUUAAUUGCAUAGUCAAAUAUCUAUCUAUCUGUUUAUUAAACUAACCUGCAGUUGCCUCCUUGGACCUAUUGGUCGAGCUCCUCCCUUGGGUGGCCGUACCCACUGGGAACCAUGGAGUUGGUUCUCACCCCACGUUGUUUUGGGGUGUUACAGGUUCGCACGUGAGCGGCGCGGCGGCGCGAGGCAAGGGCGUAGCUCCAUAGAUAGCGCCCUACCCCAGAGACCAGAGAUAGCGGUACCCCGAGUCGGCAUAGCCUAGGGGUAGAGGAAAAUGAAAAGAAAACAAUGUAUCAAACCUGUAAUAUUAAUUGUAAUAACUUAAUUGCAUUCGGAGGUUGUAUGUAAUGAAAAAUGUAAAAUGUUUGAAUGUGAAUGCUUGUAAUAACAUAGGAUGUGUUAUGUUGUGAUACUUUUCUUAUGCAA
rnacentral:lncRNA from 1 species